rnacentral:rRNA from 1 species
UACGGGGGGGGCAAGCGUUGUUCGGAAUUACUGGGCGUAAAGGGCGCGUAGGCGGCCUGCUAAGUCACACGUGAAAUCCCUCGGCUCAACCGGGGAACUGCGUGUGAUACUGGCGGGCUUGAAUUCGGGAGAGGGAUGUGGAAUUCCAGGUGUAGCGGUGAAAUGCGUAGAUAUCUGGAGGAACACCGGUGGCGAAGGCGGCAUCCUGGACCGAGAUUGACGCUGAGGCGCGAAAGCGUGGGGAGCGAACAGG